rnacentral:rRNA from 1 species
UACGUAGGUGGCAAGCGUUGUCCGGAUUUAUUGGGUUUAAAGGGUGCGUAGGCGGCUUUGUAAGUCAGUGGUGAAAUACGGUAGCUUAACUAUCGAGGUGCCAUUGAUACUGCAGAGCUUGAGUACAGAUGAGGUAGGCGGAAUUGACGGUGUAGCGGUGAAAUGCUUAGAUAUCGUCAAGAACACCUAUAGCGAAGGCAGCUUACUAGGCUGUAACUGACGCUGAGGCACGAAGGCCAGGGGAGCAAACGGG